GCAGUGUAAAAUUCUACCUUGAUUUUGAAGAUGUGGAGACAGAAGUUGGCAGCAGAACCUGCUACUGAAAGCAGAGACCUUUUGAGUUACCUUGGCUGAGAGUCAGAGUCCAGCAGAAAUUGAACCAGGAAAAGGAAAACAGAAAGAUCAUCUGGUUUGGCUGGCUCUCCUAGCCCUGAUCCUGGCUGGGGAAGAGGAUUUCAGUUCACAAGAGAAAGACCAAACAAUACAUGGCAAACAGCAUGGCAAAGCCACAGGAAAGAUAACAUUCUCUGGGAUUAAUAAAUA
rnacentral:lncRNA from 1 species